rnacentral:rRNA from 1 species
GAGCGGCGAACGGGUGAGUAACACGUGAGUAACCUGCCCUGGACUUUGGGAUAACCCUCGGAAACGGGGGCUAAUACCGGAUACGACACACUGAUGCAUGUCAUGUGUGUGGAAAGUUUUUCGGUCUGGGAUGGGCUCGCGGCCUAUCAGCUUGUUGGUGGGGUGAUGGCCUACCAAGGCGACGACGGGUAGCCGGCCUGAGAGGGCGACCGGCCACACUGGGACUGAGACACGGCCCAGACUCCUACGGGAGGCAGCAGUGGGGAAUAUUGCACAAUGGGCGGAAGCCUGAUGCAGCGACGCCGCGUGAGGGAUGACGGCCUUCGGGUUGUAAACCUCUUUCAGCAGGGACGAAGCGUGAGUGACGGUACCUGCAGAAGAAGCGCCGGCCAACUACGUGCCAGCAGCCGCGGUAAGACGUAGGGCGCGAGCGUUGUCCGGAUUUAUUGGGCGUAAAGAGCUCGUAGGCGGCUUGUCGCGUCGUCCGUGAAAACCUGCAGCUCAACUGCAGGCUUGCGGUCGAUACGGGCAGGCUAGAGUUCGGUAGGGGAGACUGGAAUUCCU